UACAGAGGUCUCAAGCGUUGUCCGGAUUCAUUGGGCGUAAAGGGUGCGUAGGUGGUUGGGUAAGUCAAAUGUGAAAUCCCGGAGCUCAACUCCGGAACUGCAUUCGAUACUGCACGGCUAGAGGAUUGGAGAGGAGACUGGAAUUCACGGUGUAGCAGUGAAAUGCGUAGAUAUCGUGAGGAACACCCGUGGCGAAGGCGGGUCUCUGGACAAUUCCUGACACUGAGGCAAGAAGGCCAGGGGAGCAAACGGG
rnacentral:rRNA from 1 species